GUGGGGAAUAUUCCGCAAUGGACGAAAGUCUGACGGAGCAACGCCGCGUGAAGGAAGAAGGCUUUCGGGUUGUAAACUUCUUUUGUCAGGGACGAAAAAAAUGACGGUACCUGACGAAUAAGCCACGGCUAACUACGUGCCAGCAGCCGCGGUAAUACGUAGGUGGCGAGCGUUGUCCGGAUUUACUGUGUGUAAAGGGCGCGUAGGCGGACUGGCAAGUCAGCUGUGAAAUACAGGGGCUCAACCCCUGAACUGCAGUUGAAACUGGUGGUCUUGAGUAUCGGAGAGGCAAGCGGAAUUCCUAGUGUAGCGGUGAAAUGCGUAGAGAUUAGGAGGAACACCAGUGGCGAAGGCGGCUUGCUGGACGACAACUGACGCUGAGGCGCGAAAGCGUGGGGAGCAAACAGGAUUAGAAACCCGAGUAGUCC
rnacentral:rRNA from 1 species